rnacentral:lncRNA from 1 species
UCUUAAACUCUGUAAUAAGAAAAGAAACAAUCUAUUUUUAAAAAUGGGUCAAAAAUUUGAAUAGACAACUGACCAAAGAAGAUAUAGGUUAGCAAAUAAACAUACAAAAAGACCCAUACAUACUAUUAUCAAUCAUUAGAAAAGUGAACAUUAGAACCAGAGUGAGAUAUUACUUCAAAUCCAUUAGAGUGGGUAAAAAUUAAAAAUUUUUUAAUCUCAUUUUAGUAGACCUCUUAGCUCCUUUCAACACGGUUUACCACUCGCUCCUCCUUGAGAUAUUUUUCUCUUAGGUGACAUCAUAUUCUUGUGUUUCUCCCCCUCUCUCCUUUUGUCAUCUUUCCUGACUUUUCUCCAUCUGACAUCUAAAUGUUGCAUCCCAUAGCCCAGUCAUUUUGUUUUAUCUGUCUCUUCUCUUGGACAAAUUGAUCUCAUUUCAUCCUAUUGCUUCCAACAGCUUCUCUGUGCUGGUGAUCCUCAAAUCUCUAUUUUACUGAAUCUAGGCACUUUUUUUUUUCCUUCAUUAGGUAACUCUGCACGUGGAAACUCCAAGAGGUUUCAGCCACUUCUUGAGUCCACAAGAAGAGGCUUAACAAGUUGCUGGAAUCGGAAUGACCAGGAUGCAGCCUGGAGCAGAAAACCACUGUACUAUGAAGUUUUAAAUCACACUUAUAAGACCUUAUUAUCACUUAAUAUUGGCAAGUAUUAUUAUGAUUUUUGAUGUCUUUGUGAUAGUUGCUGAAGCUUGUGUCACCCUUCACUUGUGCUUCCCUGGCUAAGAUAUCUCUUCUAGCUGUUUUUUGCUCCUUAGGAUAUUUAUUUAUUUAUUUAUUUAUUUAUUUAUUUAUUUUUUAUUUUUUUUUUCCUUAGGACAUUUAAAAGACUAUCUUCUAACGCACUACCCAGUACUUUUUUCAUUUCUGCUCACCUUGCCUCCCAGUGGGAUAUUAUUCAAGUUUCAAAACAUAUCAUUUCUAUAGAAAAAGACACAAUUAUCUCCUAGAAAGAUGGACUUACUAUGGUGAAUCUAGAAUAUAUUUCUAACAUUUUUUGUAAUAUAUAUAUAUAUAUUACAUACUACAUAUAUACAUAUACAAUGUCUAUGCAAUAUACAUAUAUACAAUAUACAAUAGUGUAUAUAUAAAAUGCAUGUAUGAUAUAUAUAAUAGUAUACCACACACACACACACACACACACACACACUGUAUAUAUACACUAUACCAUACAUAUAUUUUGGAGGCCUAAAAUGAGUAGUCUCUGGCUUCAAUUUCCUUAAGCAGAAAGGGAUGGUUUGGUCCUAUAUUUUUUCUAUAAAUAUAUAACAUUCUUUUUCAGGUUCCCUUUGUCCUGUUGGCAUAUUUAUUGGUAUAGAAGUCUAGUAUUAGGACUUAAAUCGAGCCAAAACUCAAAUGAAAAAUUAGCACAUCUACGUUUGCUAUAGAUCUUGCUCCAUCCUCUCCCUACCUCAUUUAAAUAAAAUUAAUUUUGCUAGUGUUUUUUUCUGUAGAAAAAUUAUAAUAGCGACAAAGGAAGGAAAAAACAACCUCUGAAAAUUGGACAUAUAUUAAUAACCUCUGUACAAUCAGGCUUGAAGUGCAUUUUAGGAGAGCAGUAUCAAUCUCAAUCUUUCCAAAAUGGAACAAAUUAUUACUUUCCCAAAGCUAUAAAUUCAGUGACUUAGUGAAAGAUUCCCUCACCACAGAUGCUGAUGUGUUAAAAAAAAAAAAAAAGGUAUUUCAAGGCAGGGUGCAAGAAAUUGUGAAGAAAAUAGAUUAAUAAUAUGAGGUCUCUGCAUCAGAGAUAGUUACAAAGACUUCAAUGGGGAACAAAGGGUCAGAACUGAGAAUCAUCCUGAUGGAUGCUAAGAGGAGAGUCUAAGACAUUGGCAGCCGGGGGAUCAGCAAUGAAACUCCCAAAAUGGAGCAGGAGUGGAGAAAGAUGAAGAUUAGAAAGGAAACUGACAUUUCUUGAGGGCCAGGUAUAAGCUGGUGUUUCUGAUGUGUCAUCUCAUUUUACCUUUGUCAUGGGCUAUAAUGUAAUGUCAUGUAAGGAGGGAUGAUUUCUGGUGUUGCCUACCAUCUGAACUUCAGUGCACAGUGCCUUGGUUGUAAAAACCACUCAAAAACUGCUUAAAGGAGUAAAUUAAAUGAAUAAGUGCACACCUAUAUGAAUAUGUAUUCCUGCCUGUGAACUAAAAAAGGUGUUUUAAAGCCCCUUUUACCUGUUGGAUAUGAUACAAAGAUAGUUGAUGGAAAUUGAGUAUAAAAUCCAAUUUAUUGGGUGUUCUGUUAUUUGUUAAUCAGAGUGAGAUACCAACAUUAUCUGCUGUAAUGACAAGAGCACUCUACAACAGCUGGAGAUCAUGGUGUAUUGGCAUCAUGCAAAAACCAGUUAAAUCAGUAGGCAGUACAAUAUUAUCAAGGGGGAUCAAUGUGGACACCCACCAAAAUGUUGUACAGGAAGGUAGACAGGAAACAUGACAACAGAGAUCCAAUUAUACAACUUAGGAACUAAAAUUCUGUCCCAUGGAAAACUUUUGUAACAAAUCAUUACUUUAUUCCCUUAAGAAGUGAACUCUGAACAGGGACUUGAAUUGCAGUAUAAGGUGGAGACUUGGUCAUAAUUUUUUUUUUCAAGAGAUAGGCCACAACCAAAGAGUAUGACUAAUAUCCAGAGAUGUGGAGCAAAGAUCUUAGUCUAGAACUCCCAAAUUCAUCCUACUGAGAAGGAAGCCAAGGGUUAAGUAAAUCCAGCUAAAGGGCCCGAAAACUUAUAGGCAUGAUGGGAUAAGUGUGGAUAUUAAUCCAAGAAUAAUUUCCUGGGGAGGUAAGCUUUAAUAUCAGCCAUAUUUGGAUGCUCCUUAUUAACUACCCAGAUCACAUCUGGCACUCUAACUGGAAGAGAGUCUUAAAUUUGAUUUUAAGGUAUCUGGCCCCUUUGUUUUUGAAAGUCAUGCUGGCAGAGGACUGAAUAAGUGGAAAGUGAAUUAUUGGGUAGUAAGUGGCACACCUCCUUGGCUUCAGUCCAUUACUACCACCUUAAUCCAGGCUUUCAACACAUCAGUAACAGAUGAUUGAACAACACACAACAGUUCUCAUGUCUCCUGUCUUUUCUCUUCAAUCCUGCAACAAAGUCAUCUUUAAAACCUCACUUUAAUAUCUCUGCUUAGAUUAUUUGCCCAAAUUAUCUUUUUUUAAUCCUUCUUCUAAUCUGAAUAUUAUUAAAUACUUUGAUGCUAACUUCAACUUAUGUUUCCUUUUUAAAGAGGCUCUCAUUCAAGACUCCAUCUACUCUAAAUUCCUAUAACUCUUUCAUUCUACAUCUUUUAUAUUAGAAUGCAAUGAUAUAUUUCCAAUGCUGAUAUAAAUUCUUCAUGGGAACAGGUUGUAUUUUAUGAUUGUACUCUUAGAACCCAGGUCUGUACGUGACAAAUAGAUUCAACUCAUAAAAAUUGCAUUAAUCUUUCUUUUUCUUUAGUGUCCCCUCACUGAUCAGCAUAAUGACAUGUUUUGUUGAUUUAAUGUAGUAGAUACAAAAAUGUCCCACCCAUGUCCCCAUGAUCUACUUCUGCAGAUGGUUCCCUUACAGGACAGUGACUUUCUGCCUAAGGAUGUUCUCUGGCAUCAAGCAUGCUUAGCAUUUCUGCAGGACAGAUUGGAAGUUCUGAAGGGUUAAUACCUCAGUAGAAAUCCUUAGCCAAUGAGGGAUAGAAGUUAGUGGACAAAUACUCCUUCUUCCUCUUACCUUUCCUGCUUAUCUCU